rnacentral:rRNA from 1 species
AUUGAACGCUGGCGGCAUGCUUUACACAUGCAAGUCGAACGGUAACAGGCCUUCGGGUGCUGACGAGUGGCGAACGGGUGAGUAAUGCAUCGGAACGUACCCAGAGGUGGGGGAUAACGCAGCGAAAGCUGUGCUAAUACCGCAUGUGAUCUGAGGAUGAAAGCGGGGGACCGAGCAGCAAUGUUUGGCCUCGCGCCUUUGGAGCGGCCGAUGUCGGAUUAGCUAGUUGGUGGGGUAAAGGCCUACCAAGGCGACGAUCCGUAGCUGGUCUGAGAGGACGAACAGGCAAAAUGGGAAUGAGGAAAGGGCCAGAAUCCGUAGGGAGGCAGCAGUGGGGAAUGUUGGACAAUGGGCGCAAGCCUGAUCCAGCAAUGCCGCGUGCGGGAAGAAGGCCUUCGGGUUGUAAACCGCUUUUGGCAGGAACGAAACGGUGUCCGCUAAUACCGGGCGCUAAUGACGGUACCUGCAGAAUAAGCACCGGCUAACUACGUG